GGCAUAGCUCAGUGGCAGAACAUCUGCCUUGAAUGCAGAAGGUCCCACUUUCAAUCUCCAGUAGCAUCU